UGAUGUGUUGUGGGAUGAUCAACUUCUUAGUUGCAUCCAAAUAAUAACAUUUUAAAUUGAGAAGUUAUUACUUUCUGGAAGUUUGCUACAUAGUGAAGGAAAAUGUAGAUGUAAUGCUCAAGAGCCACAGGUGGUCAGUGGCUACUGCAUUAGCCCGCCUAGCUCUGAAAUGAGAGAAGGGUCUGGAAACACAGGAAUCCGGUAGGAUGGGAGACGACAGAAGAACAGAGACAAGGUGGGAACACAGCGCUCACUGCCAAGACCCAGGGGAGCGCAUCCAUCCACUGCGGGUGGAUCGCAAGGUGACUUGGGGGCAGCGCCUAUUAAAUUCCAUUGUGAACAAUGAA